CCCCUAUAUAAUAGUACCUAAUGCCUAAAUAGUGACCUACGCCGAAUAAACCUAUACAAAACUUAGAUUUGCCGCAAACAAAAAAUGAAGGAACCCCUGAUCGUCUUCUUCAAUCCUUCAACUUCAGCAGCAUAAACAAAAAGAGACGACCCCGACCAUCAUCGUCUUCUUCAAGAGUCCAGCCUUAUCAUUUAGAUUUUUCUUCAACCAUAAGAUAACCCCAUCUGAAUUCCAGUCUUUUAUUCAUCCCAACAACAGCUUACACACAGCCUUCACCACUCUCACACACACACAGCGAAAAUCAGCCGCAAACCAGCUAGAAAUGACUAUUUCAGCACAUGAAACAAGUCCAAAAACCAAUCAAUGUCGAGGUAUGGUUGUUCGAGUUUGAGGGUAGGUCGAGGUCCAUUUUUACGGCGAGUUUGGAGGCCCGUCGAUUUCGGCGAAGUUUUCUGCACAAGGUUCUUUCUUCUUUUCCUUUAAUUUGUAAAUUUUUGGCUCUCUUCACUUAGCUUGAUUGUAGGUGCUAAUACUUGAUGCUUCUCAAAAAUAAGAAUAAAGGGAUGUGAACGUACUGACUAUAUUGAAGAGCUUGCUUUCCGUUUUUUUUUCUUCUUUUGGAAUAACGCGUUUUCUCUCCUUCAAGUGCAUGAAAUUGGACGUUUAAUUCCAUGUCUGCAUUGUGAGAUUGCUGUUUGGGAGGAAAGUUUUGUCGUAUAUUGGUGGAGUGUGGAGCCAUAAGUAGAUAUAUUUCAUCAGCUUAGG
rnacentral:lncRNA from 1 species